AAACGAUUUACGGGGAGCCGACCGGUCCCACAUGGGUGGGAAAAGGCUGAGAGUGUUGUGCGGGAGCGCAACAGACCCUUUGAACCUGCUCCAGGUAAUGCUGGCGAAGGGAACUGAGCUUCUCCAGACUU
rnacentral:ncRNA from 1 species